UGCUUCAGAAAUGUCCUGUGAAACUCGC
rnacentral:piRNA from 1 species